rnacentral:rRNA from 1 species
GGGCCCGCACAAGCGGUGGAGUAUGUGGUUUAAUUCGAUGCAACGCGAAGAACCUUACCAGGGUUUGACAUCCUGCGAAUCUCUUGGAAACAGGAGAGUGCCUUCGGGAACGCAGUGACAGGUGGUGCAUGGCUGUCGUCAGCUCGUGUCGUGAGAUGUUGGGUUAAGUCCCGCAACGAGCGCAACCCACGUCUUUAGUUGCCAGCAUUUAGUUGGGCACUCUAGAGAGACCGCCGGUGAUAAACCGGAGGAAGGUGUGGAUGACGUCAAGUCAUCAUGCCCCUUACAUCCUGGGCUGCACACGUCCUACAAUGCGGCGUACAAAGGGCCGCCAACCCGUGAGGGGGAGCUAAUCCCAUAAACCGUGGCUCAGUUCAGAUCGUAGGCUGCAACUCGCCUACGUGAAGGCGGAAUCGCUAGUAAUCGCAGGUC